UGGGGGAUAUUGCACAAUGGGCGAAAGCCUGAUGCAGCGACGCCGCGUGGGGGAUGAAGGCUUUCGGGUUGUAAACCUCUUUCGCUAUCGAACAAGGCCCGCUUAGGGUGGGUUGAGGGAAGGUGGAGAAGAAGCGCCGGCUAACUACGUGCCAGCAGCCGCGGUAAUACGUAGGGCGCGAGGGUUGUCCGGAAUUAGUGGGCGUAAAGGGCUUGUAGGCGGCUUGUUGCGCCUGCUGUGAAAACGCGGGGCUUAACUUCGCGCGUGCAGUGGGUACGGGCAGGCUUGAGUGUGGUAGGGGUGACUGGAAUUCCAGGUGUAGCGGUGGAAUGCGCAGAUAUCUGGAGGAACACCGAUGGCGAAGGCAGGUCACUGGGCCAUUACUGACGCUGAGGAGCGAAAGCAUGGGUAGCGAACAGG
rnacentral:rRNA from 1 species